rnacentral:rRNA from 1 species
GAUGAACGCUAGCGGGAGGCUUAACACAUGCAAGUCGAGGGGCAGCAUAGGGUAGCAAUACUCUGAUGGCGACCGGCAAACGGGUGAGUAACGCGUAUGCAACCUACCCUGUACAGGGGGAUAACCCGGAGAAAUUCGGACUAAUAUCCCGUAAUAAUAUCCGGAGGCAUCUUUGGAUAUUUAAAGUUUCGACGGUACGGGAUGGGCAUGCGUAACAUUAGCUGGUUGGUAAGGUAACGGCUUACCAAGGCUAUGAUGUUUAGGGGUCCUGAGAGGGUGGUCCCCCACACUGGUACUGAGACACGGACCAGACUCCUACGGGAGGCAGCAGUGAGGAAUAUUGGUCAAUGGGCGCAAGCCUGAACCAGCCAUCCCGCGUGCAGGAAGACGGCCCUAUGGGUUGUAAACUGCUUUUCCAGGGAGAGAAACUUACGCACGUGUUGCGUGACUGACGGUACCCUGGGAAUAAGCAUCGGCUAACUCCGUGCCAGCAGCCGCGGUAAACUAUAGUCGU